AUUGGACGCUGGCGGCAGGCCUAACACAUGCAAGUCGAGCGGAUGAAGGGAGCUUGCUCCUGGAUUCAGCGGCGGACGGGUGAGUAAUGCCUAGGAAUCUGCCUGGUAGUGGGGGAUAACGUCCGGAAACGGGCGCUAAUACCGCAUACGUCCUGAGGGAGAAAGUGUGGGAUCUUCGGACCUCACGCUAUCAGAUGAGCCGAGGUCGGAUUAGCUAGUUGGUGGGGUAAAGGCCUACCAAGGCGACGAUCCGUAGCUGGUCUGAGAGGAUGAUCAGUCACACUGGAACUGAGACACGGUCCAGACUCCUACGGGAGGCAGCAGUGGGGAAUAUUGGACAAUGGGCGAAAGCCUGAUCCAGCCAUGCCGCGUGUGUGAAGAAGGUCUUCGGAUUGUAAAGCACUUUAAGUUGGGAGGAAGGGCAGUAAGUUAAUACCUUGCUGUUUUGACGUUACCAACAGAAUAAGCACCGGCUAACUUCGUG
rnacentral:rRNA from 1 species